AUGAACGCUGGCGGCGUGCCUAAUACAUGCAAGUCGAGCGAACAGACGAGGAGCUUGCUCCUCUGACGUUAGCGGCGGACGGGUGAGUAACACGUGGAUAACCUACCUAUAAGACUGGGAUAACUUCGGGAAACCGGAGCUAAUACCGGAUAAUAUAUUGAACCGCAUGGUUCAAUAGUGAAAGACGGUUUUGCUGUCACUUAUAGAUGGAUCCGCGCCGCAUUAGCUAGUUGGUAAGGUAACGGCUUACCAAGGCAACGAUGCGUAGCCGACCUGAGAGGGUGAUCGGCCACACUGGAACUGGGACACGGUCCAGACUCCUACGGGAGGCAGCAGUAGGGAAUCUUCCGCAAUGGGCGAAAGCCUGACGGAGCAACGCCGCGUGAGUGAUGAAGGUCUUCGGAUCGUAAAACUCUGUUAUUAGGGAAGAACAAAUGUGUAAGUAACUAUGCACGUCUUGACGGUACCUAAUCAGAAAGCCACGGCUAACUACGU
rnacentral:rRNA from 1 species